CUUUUACGGAUGUUGCCCACUUGCCGUCACUUUACCCUACUAAAGCGGAAUCGUGGGAAGAUAUCCAUUGAAGAAGGCCAACGUUAUGGUCAACCUUCAAAACACCAAAGUCGAUCCAUGUUUCUGUUUUUUCUUUUGUUUAUAAUUUACUCCAUUUUAUUUGACAUAUUCACAUCUUUUAUUGGAUUUAGAUGUCAGCAUCCCUUAAUCUUCCCAAAGUGUGAUAUUAACUUUUUAUAUAUGGAAAAAUAGGUGUAGAUUUGUGUACAACAGUUUCGAUUGAAUUUGUAAUCAACGAUGUUUUUUUCAAAAGCAUAUUAUCAUAUUUCUUUUUUCUAUCUAUUGUAAUUCCACAGCAACAUGAAUAAGCUCAAUAACGUAAACGCUAAAUUUUGACAAGUCUGGCAUAAAAGCAGGUGAAGAUGAAAGGAUUUUGAAUAAUUCAAAAGUAUAUAUCCGAAUUAUUUAUCAGCUUUUUAAUGUAAAGUGAAGUUGUGAUGUCGGAGUAGAGUGACGAGCAACACCUGUUGCAACUCUUACUUCAUCAAGAGGCACCCCCAGACUAGCUUGAAUCCUAUCAUAUGGUCAUUGAUUAUAGAAAAUUAAAUCCCGAUAAAUAUUCGAAUGUCUUUCAUGAGUCGUUUCUCAGAUCCGUGGAAAGCUCUUAUUCCCAUCACAUGCGUGUUACCCCUUCUCAGUAAUUAGACACCAGGAGUUGGGCUAGUAAUCAUAGGCAAACUACUAUGCCCAACAUGGUUCCCGUUAUUACUCACACCCCCUUCUCUGGUUGAUAAUGCUAAAAAUAAACAAGCUUCUAGAUUUUAAGAUCCAUCAGAAGGGUGUUGAAGGUACGUUUAGAGUCAGUCACAAUUUCAACAAAUUCUUCAGAGACACUAUGAACUUAUUUAGUAGAUUCUCUUUUUUCAUUUAAAACUUUUCUCUUUUGAUCUCUGAGUCGGAGGAUCAACAUAGGUCUUUAGUUAGAUGUAGAUAAUCAUUGUAGCAUUUUUUUACUUUGUCUUUAGCAUGUCAAUCUUUGACUUGUAUUUCCUUUGUUUUUAACGUUUUGUCUCAGAUUGUAGAUUAUCAGAUGCUUAUUGAAUACUUCUUAUUUUUAUUUUUUGACUUACUCUAUUAGUAAACAUAAUUAAUUGCUUAUUUGGUGAUAAUGUUUUUGUGUUAAAAACACUUAAAUUAGUAUCUCUAAUUUAUUCAUAAUUUAUGCUACCUUAAAAUAGAUAAUCAUUAAUAUAAUUCUUCAUCUUCUAACUUAAUAUGCACAUUUAGUAAAUACACAGUUAAGGGAUAAUUAUUCUUAUUUGUUUAAUUGUUCUUCAUCUUCUAAUUGUUCUUCCCACCGCCUUCAGACGAGGAAGGUCUAGAUACUCUAGGGGGGUCGCACUAACACACACCGCUUUAUAAUUUAGAGUGCUUAUGAUUUGUAGCAUGAAAGUGGCAUUGUUGCAAGUAGUAAUUGGAAGACUAUGUAGGGGUGGAAUGAUCAUCACCGCAUUCAGAUUGUUAUGUGAUUAGCAGCACAUGAGCAUAUUCUCACCAUAUUUUGGAGGUGCAGAUAGGGAGUAGGAAUUUCUACUUCCUGUCCUAGCUGUGGGAGGGAUGAUGACACUACCUUUCAUGUUCUGCGUGACAGUGUGCAGGCUACUCAGGUAUGGCCUUGACUAGUUCCUUCUAAUGACAUAACUAGUUUAUUUUAUUCUAAUUGCAUGGAACGGAUUUUCAACAACCUUAGUAAACAUGAGAGUGAAGCUCCAAAUGAUCGUUGACACACAAUCUUCAUGACUAACAUGUUGGUUUCUUCGGAUGUGGAGGAAUAAGUCAAUUUUUCAUUUUGAAUUUAAGAGAUCAAUUGAUCAUGUGAGGCUAUCUUGAAAUACUCUAAAGAUAUCGUUGAUGUAAUCACCAUCAUUUGCAUCAAGUGAUGGCAAUUGUUAAGGGAACCUCAAGUUUAGAGAUCUUUAUUGCAACUCCAAUGGGUAUUGGAUAAAAGCUGCACAAAGAUGACCAGUACAUUCGACACUUUUCAUGCUGAGAUGUGAAGUUUAUACCUUGGGUUGGAUACGACAUGGAGAAAUCAUAUUUUGUACCUUUUUGUUGAGAGUGAUUCAAAAAUCUUGAUCGACAUAGUGUUGGAGAAUUGUAACAUCAGAGGGGGGUUUUCCAACUUUUGUGAAACACGUCAAAAGCCUCUUAGUGUUACGUCUAAGUUCAUCAUACUUGGAGGAAAAGUAACAAAUGUGCUGAUUAACUUACCAAUUAUACCCUUUCUUUAAGGAACAUUAGGUGUAAUACAGUGGAGGAUCAUCCUAAUGACCACUAUAAUUUGUUUUUGAUGA